ACUGGAGCCUUAGCGGGCGCAGCAGCUGGAACGGGAGUACUGCGACGCAGCCCGGAGUCGGCCUUGUAGGGGCGAAGGUGCAGGGAGAUCGCGGCGGGCGCAGUCUUGAGCGCCGGAGCGCGUCCCUGCCCUUAGCGGGGCUUGCCCCAGUCGCAGGGGCACAUCCAGCCGCUGCGGCUGACAGCAGCCGCGCGCGCGGGAGUCUGCGGGGUCGCGGCAGCCGCACCUGCGCGGGCGACCAGCGCAAGGUCCCCGCCCGGCUGGGCGGGCAGCAAGGGCCGGGGAGAGGGUGCGGGUGCAGGCGGGGGCCCCACAGGGCCACCUUCUUGCCCGGCGGCUGCCGCUGGAAAAUGUCUCAGGAGAGGCCCACGUUCUACCGGCAGGAGCUGAACAAGACAAUCUGGGAGGUGCCCGAGCGUUACCAGAACCUGUCUCCAGUGGGCUCUGGCGCCUAUGGCUCUGUGUGGUGAGUGUCGCUGGGCCUGGGGCCGCUGUGGGCAGGGUGGCCCCUCGCGCCCGAGGGCCAGGCCUGCUCCACUGCUCAGCGUUGCGUCAAGUGGCAGGAAUUUUCCUCGGGGGAGGGCAUUGCUGCCCCUUCGAGCUCUGCCCGUUCUGCACCUCCAGCACCCCUCGCCCUGCACUCACGCAGGUAUGCGGUCCACCGUGUGCAGCACUCAGGUCCGCUGCGAGAGUGCUGCUUUUGACACAAAAACGGGGUUACGUGUGGCAGUGAAGAAGCUCUCCAGACCAUUUCAGUCCAUCAUUCAUGCGAAAAGAACCUACAGAGAACUGCGGUUACUUAAACAUAUGAAACAUGAAAAUGUGAUUGGUCUGUUGGACGUUUUUACACCUGCAAGGUCUCUGGAGGAAUUCAAUGAUGUGUAUCUGGUGACCCAUCUCAUGGGGGCAGAUCUGAACAACAUUGUGAAAUGUCAGAAGCUUACAGAUGACCAUGUUCAGUUCCUUAUCUACCAAAUUCUCCGAGGUCUAAAGUAUAUACAUUCAGCUGACAUAAUUCACAGGGACCUAAAACCUAGUAAUCUAGCUGUGAAUGAAGACUGUGAGCUGAAGAUUCUGGAUUUUGGACUGGCUCGGCACACAGAUGAUGAAAUGACAGGCUACGUGGCCACUAGGUGGUACAGGGCUCCUGAGAUCAUGCUGAACUGGAUGCAUUACAACCAGACAGUUGAUAUUUGGUCAGUGGGAUGCAUAAUGGCCGAGCUGUUGACUGGAAGAACAUUGUUUCCUGGUACAGACCAAAUUUGGUAUAUAUAUAUUACAGUCCAAGAUAUAAGAAAUACUGGGGAGGGGACAAGAUGGACAACUAGAAAUAGCUGCAAUCAGAGGCUUCCAACAAGAAGAACGAAAACGGUGAGUGAAUCCUGCACCGGCAACUGAGGUAUUCACCUUCUCUCAAUGGGACUGACUAGGUGGUUGGCAUGACCCAUGGAGAGUGAGGAAAAGCAGGGUGGAGCGACAGCCCACCUGGGAGCUGCAAAGGGCAAGGGGAGCUCCCACCCCAAGCCAAGGGAGGUGGUGAGUGAUUGUUCUACCCUGUCCAGGAAAUCAUGCUUUUUCCAAGGAUCUGUGCAACCUGUGAUUCAGGAGAUCCCCCUCAUGAGCACAUGCCACCAGGGCCUUGGGUCCCAAGCACAGAGCUGUGUAGGUUCUUGGUAGCCCUUUGGCUGGAGACUACAUAAGACUACUGAGUUCCUUGGGGGAGGGGUUGCUGUCAUCACUGCAGCUCCAGUCUGCUGUUUUCCCCUGCUGGUGCUGGAGAGACUGGGCGGUUGGGACCCAGAAGGAAUUCCCUACAGUGCAGACCCUACAGUGGUGGUGGCACAUCAUGGCCAGACUGACUCUUUAGGCUGAACUCUGACUCAUCCCCCUACACGGGGCAGGGCCUCUCUGCGGGAAUUUCAGCAACUCCAGCCAGGGGUUUACAGACAGAAUUCCAAUCUCCCUGGGAUGGAGCCCCUGGUGGGAGGGGUGGCCACAGUCUCCACAGAUCAGCAGAGUUAGUCUUUCCCCUUGCUGGCUCUGAGGAAUCCAGGCAGUCUGGAUGAGUGAGAUUUCCCCCAGUGCAGCACACCCCCUCCACCAAGGGGCAGCCAGAGUGCUUCGUUAGGUGGGCCUGUGCCUCUUGACUGGAUGAGACCCCUCCAACAGGGGUCGCCAGACACCUUAUGCAAGAGCAUUCCCACUGGCAUCAGGUUGGUGCCCCUCUGGGACGGAGCUCCCAGAGGAAGGAACAGGCAGCCAUCUUUGCUGUUCUGCAGUCUCCACUGGUGACACCUCCAGGUACAGGAGGGACCCAGGCAAAGAGUCUGGAGUGGACCCCCAGCAAACUGCAGCAGCCCUAUGGAAGAGGGGCCUGACUGUUAAAAGCAAAACAAAUGGAAAGCAACAACAACAUCAACAAAAAGGUCCCCACCAAAACCCCUCCAAAGGUUAGCAGCCUCAAAGUUCAAAGCUAGGUAAAGUCAUGAAGAUGAGAAAGAAUCAAUGAAAAAACGCUGAAAACUCAAAAAGCCAGAGUGCUUCUUUUCCUCCAAAUGAUCACAGCACCUCUCUGGCAAGGGCAUAGAUGUGGGCUGAGGCUGAGAUGGAUGAAUUGACAGAAGUAGACUUCCGAAGGUGGAUAAUAAUGAAUUUCACUGAGCUAAAGGAGCAUGUUCUAACCCAAUGCAAAGAAUCUAAGAACCAUGAUAAAACAUUACAGGAGCUGUUAACCAGAAUAACCAGUUUAGAAAGGAACAUAAAUGAUGGAGCUGAAAAACACAACAUGAGAACUUCAUAAUGCAACCACAAGUAUCAAUAGCCAAAUAGACCAAGUGGAGGAAAGAAUUUCAGAGCUUGAAGACUAUCUUGCUGACAAGAUAAGAGAAGAAUGAAAGGAAAUGAACAAAACUUUUGAGAACUAUGGGAUUAUUUAAAAAGACUGAACCUGCGAAUGAUAGGGGUACCUAAAAGAAUUGGGGAGAAUGGAAACAAGUUGGAAAACACACUUCAGGAUAUCAGCCAGGAGAACUUCCCCAACCUAGCAAGACAGGCCAGCAUUCAAAUCAGGAAAUCCCUAGAGAACCCCAGUAAGCUACCCCAUGAGAAGAUCAACCCCAAGAUACAUAAUCAUCAGAUUCUCCAAGGUUGAAAUGAAGGAAAAAAUACUAAGGGCAGCCAGAGAGAAAGGCUAGGUCACCUACAAAGGGAAGCCCAUCAGGCUAAGAGUGGACCUCAGCAAAAACCCUACAAGCCAGAAGAGAUUCGGGGCCAAUAUUCAACAUUCUUAAAGAAUUUCCAACCCAAAGUUUCAUAUCUGGCCAAACUAAGCUUCAUAGUCAAAGAAGAAAUAAAAUCCUUUUUAGACAAGCAAAUGCUGAGGGAAUUCGUCACCACCAGGCCUGUCUUGCAAGAGCUCCUGAAGGAAGCACUAAAUAUGGAAAGGAAAAACUUACUGGCCACUACAGAAACACACUGUUUUCUUUUACCAGUAACACUAUGAAGCAGUUACCUCAACAAGUCUGCAAAAUAACCAGCUAGCAUCAUGAUGAUAGGAUCAAAUUCACACAUAAAAAAUAUUAACCUUAAAUGUAAGUGGGCUAAAUGCCCCAAUUAAAAAACACAGAACGGCAAGCUGGAUAAAGAAUCACGACCCAUCAGUAUGCUGUUGUAUUCAAGAGACCCAUCUAACAUGCAAAGACAUACAAAGGCUCAGAAUAAAGGGAUGGAGGAAAAUUUACCAAGCAAAUGGAAAGCAGAAAAAAGCAGGGGUUGCAAUCCUAUUUUCUGACAAAACAGACUUUGAACCAGCAAAUAUCAAAAAAGACAAGGGCAUUACAUAGUGGUAAAGGGCUCAAUUCAACAAGAAAAGCUAACUAUCCUAAAUAUAUAUGCACCUAAUACAGGAGCACCCAGAUUUAUAAACCAAGUUCUUAGAGACCUACACAGAGACUUAGACUCCCAUACAAUAAUAGUGUGAGACUUUAAUACCCCACUGUCAAUAUUAGACAGAUCAUCAAGCAGAAAAUUAACAAGGAUAUUCAGGACUUGAACUCAGCUCUGGACCUGAUAGAUAGCUACAGAACUCUCUAUACAGAAACAACAGAAUAUACAUUCUUCUUAGCAGCACAUCGCACUUAGGCUAAAAUUGAUCACAUAAUUGGAAGUAAAACACUCCUCAGUAACUGCAAAAGAACUGAAAAUAUAACACACAGCCUCUCACACCACAGCACAAUCAAAUUAGAACUAAGAUUAAGAAACUCACUCAAAACCACACAAUUACGUGGAAAUUGGACAACCUGCUCCUGAAUGACUCCUGGAUAAAUAAUGAAAUUAAGGCGGAAAUCAGAAGUUCUUUGAAACCAAUGAGAACAAAGAGAACAUACCAGAAUCUCUGGGACACAGCUAAAGCAGUGUUAAGAGGGAAGUUUAUAGCACUAAAUGCCCACAUCAAAAAGCUAGAAAGAUCUCAAAUUGACACCCUAACAUCACAACUAAAAGAACUAGGGAACCAAGACCAAACAAACCCUAAAGCUAGCAGAGGACAAGAAAUAACCAAGAUCAGAGUGGAACUGAAGGAGAUAGAGACAGGAAAAACCCUUCCAAAAAUAUCAGUGACUCCCAAGAUCUGGUAUUUUGAAAAACAUAAAAUAAAAUAAAAUAGACUCCUAGCUAGAGUAAUGAAGAAAGAAGAAUCAAAUAGACACAAUAAAAAUGAUAAAGGGGGUAUCACCACUGACCCUGCAGAAAUAUGAACAACUAUCAGAGAAUACUAUAAACACCUCUAUGCAAAUAAACUAGAAAAUCUAGAAGAAAUGGAUGAAUUCCUGGACACAUAUGACCUCCCAAGACUGAACCAGGAAAACGUUGAAUCUACCAAUAACAAGUUCUCAAAUUGAGGCAGUAAUAAAUAGCCUACCAAGCAAGAAAAGCCCAGGACCAGACAGAUUACAGCCAAAUUCUACCAGAGGUACAAAGAAGAGCUGGUACCAUUUCUUCUGAAACUAUUCCAAACAUACAAAAGGAGGGACUCCCCUAUAACUCAUUUUAUGAGGCCAGUAUUAUCCCAAUACCAAAGCCUGCCAGAAAUACAACAGAAAAAGAAAACUUAAGGCCAAUAUCCCUGAUGAACAUCGAUGCAAAAAUCCUCAGUAAAAUACUGGCAAACCAAAUCCAGCAGCAUGUCAAAAGCUUAUCCAUCCACCACGGUCAAGUCAGCUUCAUCCCUGGGAUGCAAGGCUGUUUUAACAUAUGCAAAUCAAUAAACAUAAUUGAUCACAUAAACAGAACUAAAGGCAAAAACCACAUGAUUAUCUCAAUGGAUGCAGAAAAGGCCUUUAAUAAAAUUCAACAUCCCUUCAUGUUAAAAACUCUCAGUAAACUAGGUGUUGAUGGAACAUACCUCAAAAUAAGCCAUGUAAGACAAACCCACAGCCAGUAUCUUACUGAAUAGGCAAAAGCUGGAAGUAUUCCCCUUCAAAACUGGCACAAGGAUGCCCUCUUUCCCUACUCCUAUUCAACAUAGUAUUGGAAAUUCUGGCCAGGGCAAUCAGGCAAAAGAAAGAAAGAAAGGGUAUUCAAAUAGGAAGAGAGGAAGUAAAACUCUGUUUGCAGGUGACAUGAUCCUAUAUCUAGAAAACCUUGUUGUCUCAGCCCAAAAGCUUCUUAAGCUGAUAAGCAACUUCAGCAAAGUCUCGGGAUACAAAAUCAAAGUGCAAAAAUCACAACUAUUCCUAUACACCAACAGUAGGCAAGCAGAGAGCCAAAUCAUGAAUGAACUCUUAUUCACAACUGCUAAAAGAGAAUAAAAUACCCAGAACUAUAGCUAUUAAUAACAAGGGAAGUGAAGGACCUCUUCAAGGAGAACUACAAACCACUGCUGAAGGAAAUCAGAGAGGACACAAACAAAUGGAAAAACAUUCUGUGCUCAUGGAUAGGAAGAAUCAAUAUCAUGAAAAUGGCCAUAUUGCCCAAAGUAAUUUAUAAAUUUAAUGCUAUUCCCAUUAAACUACUGUUGACAUUCUUCACAGAAUUAGAAAAAAACUUUAAAAUUCAUAUGGAACCAAAAAAGAGUCCAUAUAGCCCAAACAAUUCUAAGCAAAAAGAACAAACCUGGAGGCAUCACACUACCUGACUUCAAACUAUACUACGAGGCUACAGUAAUCAAAACAGCAUGGUACUAGUACAAAAACAGACCAAUGGAACAGAAUAGAGAUCUCAGAAAUAAAACUGCACAUCUACAACCAUCUGAUCUUCAACAAACCUGACAAAACGAGCAAUGGGGAAAGGAUUCCCUAUUUAAUAAAUGGUGCUGGGAGAACUGGCUAGCCAUGUGCAGAAAAUUGAAACUGGACCCCUUCCUUACACCUUAUACAAAAAUUAACUCAAGAUGGAUUAAAGACUUAAAUGUAGAACCCAAAACGAUAAAAACCCUAGAAGAAAAUCUAGGCAAUAUCAUUAAGGACAUAGACAUGGGCAAAAAUUUCAUGAUGAAAACAUCAAAAGCAAUGGCAACAAAAGCAGAAACUGACAAAUGGGCUUCUGCACAGCAAAAGAAACUAUCGUCAGAGUGAACAGACAACCUACAGAAUGGGAGACAGUUUUUGCAAUCUAUCCAUCUGACAAAAGUCUAAUAUCCAGAAUCUACAAGGAAUUUAAACAAAUUUACAAGGAAAAAACCCAUUAAAAAGUUGGCAAAGGGCCAGGCACAGUGACUCAUGCCUGUAAUCCCAGCACUUUGGGAGGCUGAGGCAGGUGGAUCACGAGGUCAGGAGAUCGAGAUCAUCCUGACUAAUUUGGCGAAACCCCAUCUCUACUAAAAAUGCAAAAAAUUAGCCAGGCAUGGUGGUGUGCGCCUGUAGUCCCAGCUACUCAGGAGGCUGGGGCAGGAGAAUGACGUGAACCCAGGAGGCGGAGCUGGCAGUGAGCCGAGAUCACACCACUGCACUCCAGCCUGGGCGACAGAGCGAGACUCCGUCUCAAAAAAAAAAAAAAAAUAUUGGCAAAGGACAUGAACAAACACUUCUCAAAAGAAGACAUUUAUACAGCCAACAAACAUGAAAAAAAGCUCAGUGUCACUGACCAUUAGAGAAAUGCAAAUGAAAACCACAAUGAGAUACUGUCUCAUGCUAGUCAGAAUGGUGAUUAUUAAAAAGUCAAGAAACAACAGAUGCUGGUGAGGCUAUGGAGAAAUAUGAACACUUUUACACCGUUGGUAGGAAUGUAAAUUAGUUCAACCAUUGUGGAAGACUGGUGAAAUCCUCAAAGACCUAGAACCAGAAAUAACAUUUGACCCAGCAAUCCCAUUACUGGGUAUAUACCCAAAGGAAUAUAAAUCAUUCUGUUACAAAGAUACAUGCAUGUGUAUGUUGAUUGCAGCAGUAUUCAGAAUAGCAAAGACAUGGAAUCAACCCAAAUGCCCAUCAGUGAUGGACUGGAUAAAAAAACAUGGUACAUAUACACCAUGGAAUACUAUACACCCAUAAAAAUGAAUGAGAUUGUGCCCUUUGCGGGGACACUGAUGGAGCUUGAAGCCAUUUUCCUCAGAAAGCCAAACACCACAUGUUCUCACAAGUGGGAGCUGAACAAUGAGAACACAUGGACACAUGGAGGAGAACAACACACGCUGGGGCCUGUUGGUGGGGUGGGGGUCAGGCGGAGGGAACGCAUCAGGAUAAAUAGCUAAGGCAUGCGGGGCUUAACACCUAGGUGAUGGAUUGAUAGGUGGAGCAAACCACGAUGGCACAUAUUUACCUAUGUAACAAACCUGCACAUCCUGCACUUGUAUCUCAGAACUUUAAUUUAAUUUUAAAAAAAUAUAAGAAAUACUCAUUUUUGUCUUAAAGCCAAUAAUGUGUUAUCAGAUUAGAAAUUAUUCUUGUUUGUGACUUUGCAGAACCCUUCCAUCUGGCCUAAUGAUAGCAUUAUUAUUUUUUAAAGAAUGAAGCCCUUUCUUAAAAGCCUAGUUGACUAGGGAUAUCAAGUGGACACAGCUGACAGAACUUUGUACUAGAAAGGAGGGAGGAUACAGAAUGUCUCUUCAGGAGGAGCAUGCCCUACGUGAAGUGAUCAUCCUGCAGGAGCCUUGACCUAGAGGGAUUCACCGUGUUGGCUAGAUAUUGAUCAGUUGAAGCUCAUUUUAAGACUCGUUGGAACCCCAGGGGCUGAGCUUUUGAAGAAAAUCUCCUCAGAGUCUG